CCUACGGGGGGCAGCAGUGGGGAAUAUUGGGCAAUGGGCGCAAGCCUGACCCAGCAACGCCGCGUGAAGGAAGAAGGCUUUCGGGUUGUAAACUUCUUUUCUCAGGGACGAAGCAAGUGACGGUACCUGAGGAAUAAGCCACGGCUAACUACGUGCCAGCAGCCGCGGUAAUACGUAGGGGGCGAGCGUUGUCCGGAAUGACUGGGCGUAAAGGGAGUGUAGGCGGCAUAUUAAGUUAUGUGUGAAAGCCCGCGGCUCAACCGCGGAAUUGCACAUAAAACUGGUAAGCUGGAGUGCAGGAGAGGUAAGUGGAAUUCCCGGUGUAGCGGUGGAAUGCGUAGAUAUCGGGAGGAACACCAGAGGCGAAGGCGACUUACUGGACUGUAACUGACGCUGAGGCUCGAAAGCGUGGGGAGCAAACAGGAUUAGAUACCCCAGUAGUC
rnacentral:rRNA from 1 species